GGAAGAGAAGUGUUCUGAGCAGAGGGAACAGCUUUUGCAAAUGGCAGGAGGUUAUUACAGAGUAUUGAGCAGAGUUCCCUGUACUAUACACAGUGGAUAAAAAGUUUCCCAUUCUGGAGACAGGUAUAGCAGAUGGCUUCCUGAACUUGGAGUCAAGGGACCACUUACUAGCUGUGUGUCCUGAACUCAUCACUUGCCCUCUCUGGGCCUCUCUGGCCUCACCUAUAAAACGAGCUUCGAAGAGAUGAUCUCUAAAGUUCUUCUGGAUCUAAUAGUCGAAGACUGAAGCCCUGAUUCUCAUCUGAAGGAGCUCUAGGACUUAAGCCCACAGGUUUCCUGCGUCUCUGCCUGGCCCCCUUGGUGCAGGUGGCUGCGUGUGUGCGUGUGGGACCGAGGAGAGAGUGGAGCGGUGAGGUGGGGAAUAGCAGAAGAACAGAGUUCCCCUUGAUGGCCCCUGACCUGCUCUGUCACCAUGGCAGGCCUGUUCUCGCCCUUGUGGGGCUGGGCAAGGUGGCUGGGGCAGCAGAGCCUGACAUUUCAAAGAGCAGUGUCGCUUGUCCUUGGCACACCUGUCUUUGAGAUCUUGCUGCCACUGCUGGGACAUUCCUGACCAGGUGGAAUUCUCCUGAUGACAUUUUUUUUGGAUGAUCAUGUGACAACUCCCUGAAGCAUAGAAAGUUCUGUUGUUAGAGCUGUGGACCUGGAUUUUCAUUCUGUCCUGACCACUAAUGAGCUCUCUGACCUUUCUGAACACUUUUGUUUCUUCCUUUCCUUAUUUGUAAAAUAAAGGUUAGAU
ensembl:lncRNA